GGAGAUGUAGCUAAGUGGUAGAGUACUUGCUUAGCAUGUGAGAGGCCCUGGGUUCAAUCUCCAGCACCAUUA
rnacentral:tRNA from 1 species